rnacentral:sRNA from 1 species
UGAUUGAAGUGUAUUGAAGACGCGUCCGU